rnacentral:tmRNA from 1 species
GGGGAUGCACGGCAUCGACGGUUAGCAUGCCCACUGUGUGCAGUGUCACAGCUCAGCAAAACCUGUGUAAAAAUUUUGCUGGAUUUUACGUGCAAAGAAUAGCGUAAAGAGUCCUUACUUCACAGCUAAGGACUUCGCCUUCGCGACAGCGUAACUUACGUUACGAUUGCCUUGAGCUCUGCUCGGCCUGCGCCAAUGCGACAUCACUGAACAUGAGUUCUCAUAGUGUUCAGCUGGUGUAAUAACCAUGAGAAUAUACGUUCAGUCGCCGUCGGAGACUGAGCCAGAAAUUCUUCCGACUCGAACUUGAGGUGUUUCGUGCUAAUUUUCAGCCUCAAUUUUUAAACUAAAAUUAGUACUACACACUGUAGAUGCACCGUGUGCACCUAAUUCGGACGGGAGUUCAAAUCUCCCCAUCUCCACAA